rnacentral:tRNA from 1 species
GCUCUGACAUAGCUCAGUCUGUAGAGCAGGAGAUUCUUAAUCUCAGGGUCGUGCGUUCAAGCCCCAUGUUGGGCA